GAUUUCUGGGCAUCAGUUUCUGGCCGGCCACGGUUUCGUGUGUUAGUGCUUGAAGCUUUGUCCAUCCUUCCAAUCGCUAGUUACUAUUCUUCAUUGAUUGGUAAUUAGUAUUGGAUCUUUUACUUUGAAAAAAUUAGAGUGUUUCAAGCAGGCUUUAUGCUAUGAAUACAUUAGCAUGGAAUAAUAAUUUAGGACUUCGGUUCUAUUUUGUUGGUUUCUAGGACUGAAGUAAUGAUUGAUAGGGAUAGUUGGGGGUGCUAGUAUUCAGCGGCCAGAGGUGAAAUUCUCGGAUUCGCUGAAGACUAACUUAUGCGAAAGCAUU
rnacentral:rRNA from 2 species